UGGACCGAUAUCGCUGCACGAGGAAACUGGUUUCCCGAGUUUUUCUCGUAGACCAAGACCGCAAGCCUGAACAAACACCGGUCCGAUGAUAAAUAUUGGAAAAGCAAUCGUUCUGACGUUUACAGCAUUCUUUUACCUGUGCGCAUCCGGAAAUAGCGGCCACCUUGCUAAAAUCGACGCCACACACGCGCAACUUAUCGAGAAUCAUGUCCAGAGCCUUAACCCACAUCAAAGUGGGAACCACCACUACGUGUGGCUCAGCUCUUUUCUGAAUGACGCCUCCGUACGUUCUAAAAUUGUCCAAUAUUUAAUAAUUAAAUGUAACGUAAUUAAAUUGUAAUCGUAAAUUCUAAUUAAACGUAAAAUAAUUUGACAUUUUUUACGAGAUAUUAAUCAUCGAUGAGAGUAUAAAUAUAUCGAGUGUAGAAAGGAAUUCGGUAUUUUAGCUUUGUAUAUUCUAUUUCGUUAUUACGAAUUCGCAUAUCUUAGUGCCUUUCAUAAACAUGACAUUUUUUUCUAGAUAGUGUAUCGUUCAGCGCACUGAUUCUAAUGCGAUUCAAAAUAUAGUUGCAAUGAAAUCGACCAUGAUACGAUUGGAAAUUAACAAAAUAUUUUAUACUCCGUUGUAAUCUUGCUUUUUCCUGUAUAAAUCAUCAAGACAAUAAGAAAUCAAAACAGAACAAUAAUAACGGAGUCGUAUUCGUCAUAAAAAAUUCAUUUGGGAGAAAUUUGUUGCUUGUUACGAAUUGUAUUUUAUCAAUGCUUUCUUUCUAGUGUGAGAAUGUGUAAAUAAUGAAUAAAUAAUUCUCGAUUUGCUCAAUGCUAUUGCUCAGACAUGAACUUCUAUGUACUUUAAAAUAUAAUGUUAGAAAUCGCAUCAUUGCUUAUGUAUCAUUAGGUUGAACGAAAAGAUUUUAAUAUCGUAUUUUGCAUUAAUCAUCUCAUGAGAGAUCUUCGUGGAUUUUAGAGUGUUAAGAAACGUUUUAAAAAAUGUACGUGGAAACGUCAAAAGUGGAUAAUACGUAAAAAUACGUAACAUGAAAAUAUAAGAAAACAUGGUAUUUAAGCAUAUUUACCUAAAUUCUGGUAGAUCAUUGUCAAACUGUACACUGGUUUCAUGGAGAACAGCGAGAUUGUUAUCGACGACAACUGCUUUCAACUACAAAUGUCAAAAGAUACUUGUUAACGGCCUCUUAAAUUCGCAAUACUACGCUGUUCCUCGAUUUUUUAUCUACAUCAUCGAAUAAGUUAUGUGCAACAAGGCUACCAUGUGACAUAGCAUGGUCAAUUAGUUAUGCUACUCCAUAAUGUAAUUCGAAAUUUAAAAUUCAAAACUUUUUACCAUUUUUCGUAUCUACCAUAUGAAUAUAUACACGUGUAACGUUUAAACAUACUACUAAUAGUGCUUAAUAAAAUAAAAAGAUGUCCAGAUGUAUCAUCGCCCAUAAGUUUAAUCACAAGUACAAAUAUCGUGAAACGCGUAAAGUCUCGAGUGAAAUUAAAUGGACAAAUAAGUAUCGUUAUUAAAAUGAAUCGUGGAAUAGGAUAAAAUAUCAAAUAAAAUAAUAUUUGUUUCAAUAAAUAAAACGAACAGAUGUUCUAAGAGGUAGAUACUUAUGAUCGAUAAUGUAUAUAUCAUGAGCGAUGGUUUAUGCAACAGAAAUUAUUAUGUAGAAUCCAUAGAUAUUGAUGAUUGUCGGGUAUUUAAUUUGUCGAAAGUUGACAAGCAGAUAACAUUCACGUCUGAUGGUAUCGAUUAUUCUUGUAUAUCGCUUAUGAUUCACAUAUUUCUUCUAUUUUAAAGGAUCAAUAAUUACGACAAAUUGAAUUAACGAAUAGAUAAAAAUAAAUGUUUUAUACGAAUUGGUUAUGUUACGAUACAUUCGUUUAUGAUUUAUGGAGUUUCGAUGCCAAAGAUGCGCAAGAAACAUUUUGCUAUUUCAAUUAUCAUUUCGACCGCUUCUAGCAUUUCGCGCUUUUCGUUGCAAACGAGAUACGCAUUUCUUUCGCCCGUAUCGUCCUACUGCUUAAUGUUAUCAUUAUGUUAGAUAAUUGUGACCCAUCUGACGCGCGUCACACGCAGCGAAACGCUUCUCGUCAACAACUUCGAAUUUUCCUAUCAUUUUAGUGUAUUAUUGACUGUAAUAUUUGUUUAUACCUAAAAGCUAACCGUGGUAAAUUUACCACUAGACAUUAAAGUAUCGUUAACUUAA